CGUUUUCUUUAUGCAGGACAUGGGUUUCAGUCUGUUCGACUAAGCGCUUCAGUUCCUCCCCCCUACCCUCUGUUUACCCUAGUAUCUGUCGUGUGUGGCCUGCCACAACAGCGCCUGCAUAAUAUCUAGAGACCUGAAGUUCGUGCUAUUUUGCUUGGGACAAUGUAUAUGUUUAGUACCUUCGUAUGUGAGUGUGUUACUGCUUCUGCAGCCUUGAGCAGUUGAUUGAUAAAUUGGUGUUAUGUUUCUCGCAUAUGUCUUGAUGUUUGUGGUCGAUGAAAGUGCACAUGAUCUUUUGAUGUUCUGAAUGGUUUAUCUGGUGAAAGGAUCUUGAUUUUCUCUGUGACUGAAUGGGUUUUCUCUGGGAUGGAAUGCCCUUUCCUCACACUGGUGACUAUAUGACCAUUUUUCACAGUGAGAUCUCACACUCGCUUCUCUGAACAGAUAAAGGAGAAUGGAGAUGCAAACAUAGAUUUGAAUAAAUUGGUGGACACUUUUUGACAAAUAUUUCAUUCAUAUCAUUCAUUAUUCAUUGGAUCUUCAUACAACUGGGGUAUUGUGAGCUUUGACGAGAGGCACCAGAAACAGCAGACAUCACCUGCGAUACUUGAGCAAAGAGGAAGGGCGAUGCUAGGUGCCGGCGCACCGGCUGAAAGUUUUGGCCGGUCCUGCCCCAGCCCUUGGA
rnacentral:lncRNA from 1 species